rnacentral:rRNA from 1 species
AGUGAAUAGAUACCCUGGUAGUCCACGCUGUAAACGAUCAAUACUAGGUGUGCGGGGACUGACCCCCUGCGUGCCGGAGUUAAACACAAUAAGUAUUGCACCUGGGGAGUACGAUCGCAAGGUUGAAACUCAAAGGAAUUGACGGGGGCCCGCACAAGCGGUGGAUUAUGUGGUUUAAUUCGAAGCAACGCGAAGAACCUUACCAGGGCUUGACAUCCUACUAAUGAAGCAGAGAUGCAUUAAGUGCCCUUCGGGAAAGGUAGAGACAGGUGGUGCAUGGUUGUCGUCAGCUCGUGUCGUGAGAUGUUGGGUUAAGUCCCGCAACGAGCGCAACCCUACUUGUUAGUUGCUACGCAAGAGCACUCUAGCGAGACUGCCGUUGAC